UGGUGUGAGCGUCAUUGUUGGAGUCCCUCCUGGUUCCCAAACCAUCUCAGUGAAUCCUACGCUGCUGUUGACUGGACGCACCUGGAAAGGGGCCCUCUUUGGUGGUAGGUAGUAAAGUGUGAGGACCAAAUUUAUAUUAGCCUCAGAAUUUCUUCCCUUUAUACGUGACAAGGUCAUGUUUUGAAAAGCACUGUAGUAAAAAAAAAAUCAGCAAUUAAAAUUCCUAUUGUAGUUAUAGCAUCCAAAACCAUUAGAUACAGAAUAAAUGUAGAGAGAAAGUCCCAGGACAGACUUCUCUGGCAUCCCAGCUAAGUAAGUAGGGACUUUCAGUACCAGCUCUUUAAAAAGAGCUUGUGAAUGCACGAGGCACCAAAUUUCCUAGCAGGACACACACAGGAAAUGCAGUGAUAAUCAGCGUCUACACUCUUCAUUCACUCGGAGACAACUGUAAACUUGCACCUUGACUUUGGGCAGUCAUAUGAUUUCCCUAUGAAAGAGCUGAUAAGGACUCUCCAGCUAGUCAUGGGCCCCAGUUUAUUUGGGACAUUAAAGCACAGGCCAAGCACUGCAUGAUAGUGUGGAAGCCUCCUUCUCACACUGUCUUCCCCACUAGCAUUUGCAGAGAGUAGCACGUUUCGUAACCUUUCAUUUCAUGUCUAUGUUUCCUCUCCGGUUCUCCUGCUUAUCCCUGUUGAACCUAACAAUGAUAUCAUUCUUUCAGGUUUUAAGAGUAAAGAUUCUGUCCCCAAACUGGUGGCCGAUUUUAUGGCAAAGAAAUUUCCACUGGAUCCAUUAAUAACCAAUAUUUUGCCUUUUGAAAAGAUAAAUGAAGGAUUUGACCUGCUUCACUCCGGAAAGAGUAUCCGCACCAUUCUGUCAUUUUGAGAUGAUCCGGAUGCCCUCUCUUGCAUCAAUCCUCUGAUUCGUCCAUGCCAGAUUAUCUGACUCACCAUACAGACAACAUUAUUAACUGUUCUUCAGCAACCUGAUCAAUAAAUUUCUAUUGUAUUUGUCAUCGGUGUUUACUGUAUGGAUACCAUGAUCCUAACAAAAAUUUCUUUAAGAUGUAAUAGAUUGUUUUAAGCUUAAAACACUUGGAUCACAUACAUACUCAAAACUGCAUAUCAACUCUGUUUUAUCCAUUUUGACUUUUGAUGAUACAGUUUAGGCCAUUUUAUAUUGAUAUCAGUAGAAAAUUAUGUGGCUGAUAUUUUAAUA
rnacentral:lncRNA from 1 species